GGAGGCGUAGAGUAGUGGUUUCAACUCGCACAAACAAAGCUUGUGAGACGUUGGUUCGAUUUCAACCGCCUCCU